rnacentral:rRNA from 1 species
CUCCAAUAGCGUAUAUUAAAGUUGUUGCAGUUAAAACGCUCGUAGUCUGAUGUAAUGGGGAGUGGAGUGGGGAGCAGCGAUGCUCUUUGCUUUGGUCCUCAUCAGGGGGACAGCAAUGUCCAGUUUACUUUGAGGAAUUAGAGUGUUCAAAGCAGGCGAUUGCUUGAAUACUGCAGCAUGGAAUAAUGGAAUAGGACUCG